AUAAUACUCCAUAGAUUAGAGACACUGGAAUGUUCUUUAGUCGAAAGUUCUGGCGCCUUAGGAUGGAUCUGCGGUCGAUUAGGUUGUUGUUGGGGUAACGGCCCAACAAGCCUGUAAUCGAUACGGGUUGUGGGAGCAAGAGCCCGGAGAUGGAAUCUGAGACACGAUUCCAGGCCCUACGGGGCGCAGCAGGCGCGAAAACUUUACAAUGCAGGAAACUGUGAUAAGGGAACUCCGAGUGCCCGUAUACGCGGGCUGUCCAGGUGUUUAAAAAUCAUCUGAAGAAAGGGCCGGGCAAGACCGGUGCCAGCCGCCGCGGUAAUACCGGCGGCUCGAGUGGUGGCCACUAUUAUUGGGCUUAAAGCGUCCGUAGCUGGACCGAUAAGUCUCUUGGGAAAUCCGCCGGCUCAACCGGCGGGCGUCUAAGGGAUACUGUUAGUCUAGGGACCGGGAGAGGUGAGAGGUACUCCGGGGGUAGGAGUGAAAUCCUGUAAUCCCGGUGGGACCACCUAUGGCGAAGGCAUCUCACCAGAACGGGUCCGACAGUGAGGGACGAAAGCUGGGGGAGCAAACCGGAUUAGAUACCCGGGUAGUCCCAGCUGUAAACUAUGUGCGUUAGGUGU
rnacentral:rRNA from 1 species